rnacentral:misc_RNA from 1 species
UUUCGAAUGAAAGAAUAAGUGAAGUUUGUUAGAAAAAGGGGGGAAUGGGGGAAUUUAGAAACAAAACAGAAACAUAUCACCUGAGUGGCUCUCGAAGCAAAUAAAUUUAGUGCUCUCUCCAUCACAAAACUAUAGAUGGUGGGUGUACAUAUGCACCUUAUGCACUGUAAAAUUCCUCCUACUUUCACAUGUCCAGUUCACUAACAGAAAAUGAAAUCUCUUUCCUGCAAGUUCACACAGCAUAGAAA